AUUCCCCUGCUUCUGCUAGCACUGCCUGCAGAUUGUUUCAUUUUUCAAUUGUGAGAAUGAGAGGACUAAAUUCUGAAGAAUCUACAAAUGAUUUAUCUGGAAAAAUCUGAAACGAAUCCUUACUGAACCAUAGAAAACAAGAAGAAUCACUCUCACCAUUGCCUAAUCCUCCUCCUCCUCAGAAGAAGACGAAGCUGGAGAAUCCCACAAAACCAAAGACUUAUAAAAAAGAGGAAAUUAGAGAAUCCCACGAGAAAAUUUGAAGCAGAGAGAGUCCUUGGAGGCAGUUCUGGUAAAAACCAACAGUUGAUGACUUGAUCUCAACGAGGCAAGGCAACCAUUGACAAAACAUGAAAAGGGUAAUGUGCUUCAUAAAGCAAGAACUACUUUCGAAUCUAAAAAUCCAUUUUUCAUGGUUAAAACGCAUCCAUCAUAUGUUCAUCCAGAGCAUUUUAUUAUAACUAUUAAGUACCUUUAAGUUAAGAAAGUCAUUCAAAGUACACAUAUGUUGGAAUGAUUUUGUUGAUUGAGCACACGCUUGCAAAUAUUAGCACGUGUGGAUGAAUCAUCAGUAGUCAACCAUUUUCUAUUAAAGAUUGCUAGCAACUUAUAGUUAUAAAUAGAGGUGAAUAGAAAGUCCAUCCAAUAAUUAGCAUGAACAAUUUGGUUAAUUUGUUAAUCAACUAGCAUUUUCCAACAUACAUGAUUGCAUUUUUGUUUAGGAAAAAGUAUCUUUUAGUUUCUAAAAUUUGAUCUUAUUUACUAAUUUAUUCCUCCAUUUUUUAGAACUAAUUUAAUAUCCCGAAAAUUUCAAUCAGUUAAAUGAAGACGUCCUUCCGUUAUUUUUAUAUAUCUUUACCAUUAAAUCGAUAUGAAAAGACAAAAAUAUCAUUUUUUCUUUAACGUCAAACUAAGACGUUUUCAUUUGAUGGAUUACAACCUUACUAGUUCUCAAAAAUAAAAACUGGAAAGACGAUGUAAUGAAUUAGGUCAAACCUUAAAAAUUAAAAAGAAAAUUCUUUUUUGUUUAUUAUUAUUGUCAAAUCUUUAAUUUAAUUCUUAAAAUAUGCAGGGAUGAUUAGCAAUUCUCAUGGAUUGAAAUUAUUAAUUCCAAAAUAAUAAUUAAUUAGCAUUUUCUUCAAGUUUCCAAUACUAAAUUUAUAACCUAAAAAUUAAUUAUCAGAACCAGUCACCAAACCUCUUCUUCCUCUCUCUUGCGCAUUCCAGCCCCAGCCACCGCAGCAGCUGAUAGCUCCACGCCGUUUACUCAAAAAAUAUUGGUGACAUUAUUUCUCUCGCUCUUCAAUUUCUCGUUGUCUUUCUCAUUUCAAAAUCUACAAUUUAUUUCUAUCUUAGUUUCUUCGACUGUGCAGACACUCGUUCUCGGCUAUGGCUAUCAAUUUCACAGCCAGUUCACUCCACACCUCCAUGUAAUUCCAUUAUUUCAUCUAAAGACACUGUUUAAUUAGUUAUUCAAAAAAUCAUUCAUAAUUCUUAUUUGAUUUGAAUGAGUUCAACAACUUAUUCACAUAUUAUCUUUUUUUUAUGCUUAAAAGUCUAAUAAAUCGAAAUAAUAUUAUAGCCUACACAGUAAUUGUAACCCAUAUUUAAACAAUCUUCAUCAAAUUAAUGAUAGUUGACUUCUCACUCUCCGUAUCUUAUACAAGACGUAAAAAGACCAGCCAUAUCAGCAUAUUAUGUCUCGACAAUUUAAAUUCCUUUUUUAUUUUUUUAAACAAGGGGCAAACAAAGAAAAAGAUCAUAAUUAACGAGAACAUAGUAUGUUCCAUUUUUUAUCAGUCGCAUGACUUAUUACUAAAAUGCAGCACUACAAAUUUAUU